rnacentral:lncRNA from 1 species
AUCUUGAAAACGGAAAAUAAAAACAGCAGACCUAUGAAGGUCGAAGGGGAAGAAAAGCUGUAUCGAUUGUUGAGAUCUGGCGACUUGUUUAAAUUUCAUCAGCCUCACUUCUAUGAACUCUCAGGCCUCAUGUGUACCAGCUCUCUGCUCUCCUUUGCCUUGGGACGUUCCAUCCCUGGAAGUUUCCCUGCCCACAUCUUUGUAGAGAGUCCAUUCUCCAAGCUUCAGUGUGUCAUCUGUGAGGACUGUGACCAACCUGGUACAUCGCCUCAGGGCAUUCAUUUCAGGCUCCUUCUAAAUGGUCAAGGAUCUUGGAAGCAGAGGGAUCUGCAGAAGUGCUUGCAACACUUUCAGCCUCAACCAGCAUCAGAGACAAAAAUCCUUUCUGGAAUGAGUCUUCUGUCAGCCUAACAAGCAUAGCAAGAAGAUAUAGCCCCACAACCACUUUAUGCACAAAGUUAGAAGCAUAAAAUCUCAUGGAAAGAGACCGAUUAUCCACAGAAGAGGUUGUCUUGCCAUUUCUCUCAUGUUAGAGGUAAACCUCAGGUUCUCCUCCUGCCUUUUGCUAAGUAUAUGUCUUGAUGACAAGCCUUCUGCUGAUGAGCUGUGUUUCUGGACCGAUCAUGGUAGAAGUCAAUUAACGUGUCCCUCACUUGGGGUUUCUCAAGGCUGCACUGAUGAGGAAACUGAAACAGAAAAUCCAGAGUAAAUUCCACCAGGCCACACAGCAAGGUCUGAUAGAGCCAGGAGAGACUUUAUGAAAUCCAGACUCUCACACUAAUGCUCUAUCAGCUAGACCUCCAUGUGAGUCUCCCCAAUGUAGGUAGGAAGUGCUUUCCC